AGCCGGCCGACCGCGACUCCCUCCUUUUCCUCCUUCCUCCUCGUGCCUCUGAAUUGGAGCGAUGGUGUUGUUCCUCUCUGCACUAGUGCCGGUAGUCGUUCUCUUCGCUUCUGCCAAGUGCCACCGACCCCUCUUGUGACCUAGGCUCCAUCUCCUCUUCAGAGUAAGGGGUUUAAGUAAGGUAACGGCAAGGGUUGUGUGAUGUGGAUCAACUAGCAAGGUUGGGAAGAAGGAAGUUGGAUGUUUGUUUGGGGUUUUGAUUUGAGACAAGAGCUCUGA